UCUCCGUUGGUGAACCAGCGGAGGGAUCAUUACCGAGUUUACAACUCCCAAACCCAAUGUGAACCAUACCAAACUGUUGCCUCGGCGGGGUCACGCCCCGGGUGCGUCGCAGCCCCGGAACCAGGCGCCCGCCGGAGGGACCAACCAAACUCUUUCUGUAGUCCCCUCGCGGACGUUAUUUUUACAGCUCUGAGCAAAAAUUCAAAAUGAAUCAAAACUUUCAACAACGGAUCUCUUGGUUCUGGUAUCGAUGAAGAACGCAGC
rnacentral:misc_RNA from 1 species